GUGGGUCUGAGGGCUGUUCUGUAUGGUUAUUCCAUUAACCAUUACACCGUUACUCCCGUAGAAUCUCAACGCCUACAUACCAGCCAAGGUAAUUGAUUAAGUUUGACAUUUUGACUUUAAUUGGCAUCUCCAUCCAUGAGGCAAAUCAAAUGAAACUUACUGUUGGUUUAGCUCCUGGCAUUUUCGUGCCCUUUUGAUCCUUCAUCUUUCACAAAUAAAAAAGGUACAGGAAGCAGAGGUUAUUGGAAGCUAGAUUUUUUUUUAAUUUUGUUUAGCUAGGGAAAUUGAGUUUAGUAUUACCAUGUCGUUGUCAUCUGCUGGAUCAUAGUCAGGGGACUUGUUCCACCAUACCGAUCCUUGUCCAUCUAUUACUCCUUUUCCUUUUAUAGUGAUUCCUAUAAGUGAUUUGAAUUCAAUCCAUUGCAAGAGACCUGAUCCCCAAGCUCUCGAACUUUUUGGAGCUAUGAUCUUUCCAUCUAACUGCACAAUGUCGAAAUACACAACUAUAUAACUAAAGUUGCUCGAAUAACAUUUCUCUGUUUUUUAUUUUUUUGAAAUUCACCUGAAACACGAUGUUCUCUUUACACUCUUUUCCCAGGAAGGAGACAGGUCCAACAAGGAACGUAGAACCGGAUGGAACUAAUAAUGUCGAUGCUGCCACUUUACAAGCUUCAUUCCAAGCGUCUUCAAAAGCCUGCAAUAUUAAAAGGUACACUGAUCAUCAAAAUCUUUAUUCUUUGGACUACUAUUACAUUAUCUAUGCUGCUAAACCAUAUAAAUGCUCAUUCACCUUCGUGUCAUCACUUGUCCCGUCACCUUUUGCACCAUAGUCAAGGACAUUGAACGUUCCGGAGCUUCCCCCUUCAGCGAUAGACCUGCGGUUUCCUCUCCAGUAUACACUAUGUCUAGCGUCACAAGAGAUUAAAAGGAGAAGUUUCAGGGCAAGACAUUUCAAGGUUAGUCUAUACAUCUUCAGUACGGAGAACAAUUUGUCUCUUGGAAGAAUGUGUUUAGAUUUUGAAUGAAGAGGAACUGAUGAGACGAGGUUCAUAUUUAUAAGUAGAGAAAAGCACUGUUACACAUAUGAGUUAUGAAACUAUAAUACAGUUAAACAGUUAGAUGAGGACAAAAAGCUUUGGAACUCUCUUCCUCUUCAAGCAUGUUCUACUCAUUUGCUAUAUUUUAAUUUAAUUGGAAAAUGAGCAAAAAAGCUGAUGGGGGUUUACUUGCUUGAUCAGCUUGUUCUAUUGACCGCAUCGUCACACUUUAUUACUUGCGAUUUGGCUUUGAUUUGUUCUUGAACAAUGCGUGUUACUCAGAGUUCUUUAAUAUCAUUUAGCUUUGAUUGUUCAUGAAUAAUGCAGUGUUACUUAGAAUUUGUUUGUGUCGAUCGCUACUAACAUCUUAAUGUUCCUCUAGCAUUAAUUAGAAGUUUCAUUGAAUGGCUAUGAGGUCUCUGUGCAGUACUUUUGUCGCUAGAAACAUCUGAUCAACUUUCGUUUAUACUUUAUAACAUAACACGGGUCUUUUCAGGUACUGAGUUGGUCUUGGUAAGCUCUUCGGUUAACACAAAAACCAAAAUCUAUUUAUCAGGCAAAGGGGUUUGAGUGAAGAAAAGCUGCCAUACAAUCACAGGCAUGUCACGUAGACCUCAUCAUAAGAUAAUCUUUUUUAUUUUGAGUUCCUUAAAUUAAGCAGCGUAAUUUAGGUUAAAUCUGUGGUGUUCAUUGAAUCUUCUCAAAUGCUAUAUAUAAAAUCUAUUUUAUCAUUUUUUCUUCGUACUCAUGAACAUUCAAAGGUCCAUAUUAGUUGCAUGACAAUAGGAUGCUCAGUACGGUUUGAUUAUGGUAUAUUAGUAAGAUUCAAAGUUAUGUAUUGGACUCGUGAUGAAGAUACACUUUGCAUGCAGCCCCAGGUGGAAGGAACAAUAUAGGCUGCUAUAUAGAUCACUAGCACGUUGCUACAUGUAUGGAUCCCAUGCGUUGACUUUGACAAAACUUUGUUGAAUUAUUCUAUAUACCUUGAUCUUGAAAAGCCUAUUGGUCCCCAAAUUCACUGAAAUGCUGUUACUAUUUUAUUAAUUUUAUCUUGCUUUGGCAGUUGAAAGUGUGA
rnacentral:lncRNA from 1 species